rnacentral:rRNA from 1 species
AUGUCAACGGUGCGACCUUUGUUGUGCAAACAUGUUGUUUCUCUCUCUUGUUCCAGUAGUACGCCUAUACCUCGGGAUUUUUCAGUAUUCCUAAAACAAAAGGCAAAAAAAGGCCCACUAAAACAAGCAGGGGCGAAGGUACGCCUCUGGAAUUUUAUUAUCAGAAAUCAUAGGAGCUUUCGUGCAACCAUGGAACUAUGCGGAUUAUCUAGUACUCCUGCAGCUUAUUCUAAUCAUGGCGGGAGCAUUGACUUGACCUGGCUUCCUAAGGCUAGGAGGAAGUGUAUCCUCUGCCUUUAG